rnacentral:rRNA from 1 species
GUAGGGAAUAUUGCGCAAUGGGGGAAACCCUGACGCAGCAACGCCGCGUGAGUGAGGAAGGUCUUCGGAUUGUAAAACUCUUUUAUUUGGGAAAAAUGUCCAUAUGGCUAAUAUCCAUGUGGAGUGAUGGUACCAAAGGAAUAAGGACCGGCUAACUUCGUGCCAGCAGCCGCGGUAAUACGAAGGGUCCAAGCGUUGUUCGGAAUCAUUGGGCGUAAAGCGCGCGCAGGCGGAUCAGCAAGUCAGGUGUGAAAUCUCGAAGCUCAACUUCGAAACUGCGCCUGAAACUGCUAGUCUAGAAUGUCGGAGGGGGCAGGGGAAUUUCACGUGUAGGGGUAAAAUCCGUAGAGAUGUGAAGGAACACCGGAGGCGAAGGCGCCUGCCUGGACGACUAUUGACGCUGAGGCGCGAAAGCGUGGGGAGCAAACAGGAUUAGAAACCCUAGUAGUCC